CCUAGUUGUUUGAGACGACGACCAGCCACACUGAAAUGAGACACGGUCCAGACUCCUGCGGGAGGCAGCAGUGUGAAUUCUGCACAAUGGGCGCAAGCCUGAUGCAGCCAUGCCGUGUGUAUGAAGAAGGCCUUCGUUUUGUAAAGUACAAUCAGCGGGGAGGAAGGGAGUACAGUUAAUACCUCUGCUCAUUGACGUUACUCGCAGAAGAAGCACCGGCUAACUGCGUGCCAGCAGCCGCGGUAAUACGGAGGCUGCAAGCGUUAAUCGGAAUUACUGGGCGUAAAGCGCACGCAGGCGGUGUGAUAAGUCAGAUGUGACAUCACCGGGCUCAACCUGAGAACUGCAUCUGAUACUGGCAAGCUUGAGUCUCGUAGAGGGGUGUAGAAUUCCAGGUGUAGCGGUGAAAUGCGUAGAGAUCUGGAGGAAUACCGGUGGCGAAGGCGGCCCCCUGGACGAAGACUGACGCUCAGGUGCGAAAGCGUGGGGAGCAAACAGGAUUAGAUACCCUGGUAGUCCACGCCGUAAACGAUGUCGACUUGGAGGUUGUGCCCUUGAGGCGUGGCUUCCGGAGCUAACGCGUUAAGUCGACCGCCUGGGGAGUACGGCCGCAAGGUUAAAACUCAAAUGAAUUGACGGGGGCCCGCACAAGCGGUGGAGCAUGUGGUUUAAUUCGAUGCAACGCGAAGAACCUUACCUGGUCUUGACAUCCACGGAAGUUUUCAGAGAUGAGAAUGUGCCUUCGGGAACCGUGAGACAGGUGCUGCAUGGCUGUCGUCAGCUCGUGUUGUGAAAUGUUGGGUUAAGUCCCGCAACGAGCGCAACCCUUAUCCUUUGUUGCCAGCGGUCCGGCCGGGAACUCAAAGGAGACUGCCAGUGAUAAACUGGAGGAAGGUGGGGAUGACGUCAAGUCAUCAUGGCCCUUACGACCAGGGCUACACACGUGCUACAAUGGCGCAUACAAAGAGAAGCGACCUCGCGAGAGCAAGCGGACCUCAUAAAGUGCGUCGUAGUCCGGAUUGGAGUCUGCAACUCGACUCCAUGAAGUCGGAAUCGCUAGUAAUCGUGGAUCAGAAGCCACGGUUACCCCCC
rnacentral:rRNA from 1 species